rnacentral:rRNA from 1 species
UACGGAGGAUCCAAGCGUUAUCCGGAUUUAUUGGGUUUAAAGGGUGCGUAGGCGGAUUGAUAAGUUAGAGGUGAAAUGUCCGAGCUCAACUCGGGAACUGCCUCCAAUACUGUUGAUCUAGAGAGUAGAUGCGGUAGGCGGAAUGUAUGGUGUAGCGGUGAAAUGCUUAGAGAUCAUACAGAACACCGAUUGCGAAGGCAGCUUACCAAUCUAUAUCUGACGUUGAGGCACGAAAGCGUGGGGAGCAAACAGG